CCGCUGUCCUCCCGUCGUCUUAUCCAUUUCUCCUGCGACAGCGAUGGCGGCUUCGCCCAUUCCGUCGUGCGCCGGCGACGGCCGCCGCCGUGCCUCGCGCGGGAGGACGGAGGGCGCUCGCCGGGAGGAUGGAGGACGGCGCGGUGAAGCGGGGCAGUGGUUGUGGCAUGUGCGGCGGAGACGGCGCGGCAAGGCCGGGCAGUGGCGGUGAUUGACCGGCCAUCGUGCCUCGCGCGAGAGGAUGGACAACGCUCGUCGGGGCAUGUGCGGCGGAGACGGCUUCUGCCGCGUGUCGAGGUGGAGCAGCAGAGGACGGGAAGGCGAGAAGGCAGGGUGGGUACGCUAUGCACCAGGGCCGCCUUCGUCCUCCACCUCCUCCAAAACCGCGUGCUCGCCGUGAGCGCUGGCGGUGACACAGCGGUCCUCGCCCUUGGUGCACGGGUGCGCGGACGCAUUGUGGAUCGAGGGAGCUCUCCUCCCUCGCGGCUGGAGGCGCUCGGGAUCGAGCGAGUGGGCGAGGGGAUCGGGGCUCCUGGUGGCUGCCUACUUGGCGAUUGCACGCGAUGCUGGGCUAGCCGACUCAAUCUCCUCGACCCAGGGCCCCGUGCUCGUCAGCGCCUGCCCCAUUGCGCACGACUUCUCUGAUCCAGCGUGCAGCGAGGGCGUGGCCGCUGCCAGUCUCGCCGCCGCCCUGUCACGGAUCGCCACGCCCAUCUCCUCUGAUCUGAACACGUCUCCUACAUCCCCUGUUUCGAUCAUCCCUUGCUUAACGAGAAAAAAAUCCAAUGCCUACACACCUGUAUUCUCCCUCUCAAACUAUACAGUUCCUACAAGCCAUGGCGACAUUCACCUGCAACUAUUCGGACAAGGACGGGGAGGAGUGGACCAUGGCUGCACCGAGCUCCACCCACUAGCGGCUGGCCACCGUGGCUGCAACAAGGAUUCCCUCACCAAGCCUCGCCGACGUUCUGGAUCACCAAGGUACUUCCUGCCCCAGGAGUUUCUUGGUGAGAAAACACAAAAAUAUAAAUAUGAAUAUUUGCCCAUGAAGCUGCUCUGGUUUGUCUUUUAGAGUUUACUCCCAUUUACUCGUGUCAUUCUACAAUAAUAACAGAAUUGAUAUCAAUUAGACUUCUUUGAGUUUAAUGAAAUUUAAUGGUUUGCCAUGGAAUAUGAAAUUUGAGAAUGACACCUGCUGAACUGAAAAUAACCAAGCAAGCAAUAGUAUAUAAUGAAUAGUUAUUACCGUGUCGGCAUCACAUUGCUCUAUGGAUGAAUAACACGACAAUAAACUGGCAAAAUGGAAAGGCUUUGUUUAGUGUGGGUACCAAGCAGGAAAGUAGUUAACGGAGAUAGACUAUUUGAUAGUUGCACAACUGGAGUGAGAUACUAUUUGCUUUCUUGUAUAGUGAAGAUGGCCUAUUUUGUGGUGUAAUAUAACUAUGGUAGCUCUCUGGAGUGAGAAUGCCGAAGCCCUAAAAAAAGCCAUCAGCACGGAGUUCCUGCCAUUAAGGAAAAAAAACUAGCAAAGAAACAGCUCGGGAAAUCGUAAGUUUAUCUUGCUUUUUGAAUGUACAGCCUGUAACCAGAGAAGCUUGUUCUAAUUAUAGUAUGCUUAUUUUCCCCGAGCUGUUUCUUUGCUAGCUAUUGUUCUCAAGCAACUAAAAACUAUGUAUAGAAGAAGUCUUAGUAGGGAGCUAUUUCGAAACAAGAUGAGGAAACCCUCAAGGAUUUAAACAGUAAAAUACGAACCUGCACAUGAUCAUAUAAUGUACGGAUCACAGGCUGGCCAAAGCCUUCUUUCAAGUCUCCUGACAUUGUCUGCUUAAUUUUCACUACCUGCAAGUACAACUAGCUAGAAAUUUGGGUAUGCUGCUAUGUGCCUUGAGUUUGUAAGACAAGUUCUCUUUGCUUCCGGGAGAGUUUGACCACUCAUAUCUCUCUUUUUCUUGCAACCUGCACUUAGUAGGUUGCUUUUUCUAUGAUAUAUAUUGUUUCAUUCUGGUUGCUGAAUAUGAUAGUCGUAGCCCGUCAGAAAAAUAUGACAGCCGAUUGAUUCUUUGUAAAAGGUAUAGGGACCGUUGAAAAGUUUACCUGAUCUUUCAUUUAUAUUUUUCAAAAGACAGUCCUAGAGAUGUUGCUUUAUUUGAAUUCUGCUUAUUGCAUUUAUUGGAGCACCUGCAAUGGGCAAAUUGAAUGUUUCAAUGUUCCUCUUGUUGUUGACCACACUAUAGUUGAUUAUAUCUCAUUGAGACCUGAAUCAUCUUCCAUGAUUAUUCAACACUGAAGCUGCUUGCAUUGAUCCACAAUAGAUCUUGACUUCGGUGAAAAAUGAGGUAUAUUGAGAUUAAUGACGCAUGGUUACAUACAGAUAGAAGAACCGGUUAUACUAUAUGUAUUUUUUGUCCUCAAGUAGCGCUUCUACUUACUCAUGGAGCAACUUGGUCCGCAGGUUCUGUACACACUAUUUUCAGAAGCUUGUGUGGCAGCAACAAUAUUCGUGCCACGACAUGUAGUCGAAACAGAGGGAAAAAAUUUGUAGAGAUCGAAGUUUCACUGUUACAAACACAAUAAAGGUUUCAUGGUGGCAGUGCCUUCUUCUACAUGAUGGGAAUUCGACGGCAUUUUGUUGUUUUGUUGUUAAAUACAAACUGGGCAUGUCGUUUAUUCAUAGAUCAAGUAAUAUGACCAUCUCUUGCAGACAAAACGCUCGGGGAAAGUCCCAGCCGUGCACCUGUGAUCGCUGGAACGGCAUACUGUUUUAGGAAUGCAAUACAGACUGGUCAGGAGGUUUGUGUCUAUAGGAUGGAAUUACAUGAUAUGUCAAAAUGGUGGUCUUUAUUAUGCAAUUAAACUGAUCUCUUGUUGAACCACUCCUUUUCCAGAAAAAAACUAUUAUUUAAUCUUUGAA